UUUUUUUAUUUCUAAAUAUAUUUUCUUGCAGAUCAUGCAAACAUCGACAACAUGACAUCACUUGGUCAAAGAUCCUGAUCGAUCAACGAAACGAUCUAAAAACAAACGUUAACAAUAAAACAUAUAUUACUAAAAAAAAAAAAAAUAUAUAUAUAUAUACAUAUACGAGAUAACAGUGAGUAUUAUCAAAACAUCUUUUCGAGAAAAAAAAAAAAAAUGAAAAAAAGAAAAAUGAAUAAAAUAAUAAUAAUAAUAAUAAUAAUAAUAAUAAUAAUAAUAAUAAUAAUAAUAAUAAUAAUAAUAAUAAUAAUAAUUAUAAUUAUAAUCGGACAUUUAUGUCAAACAACGUGAUACUGAUAACAAAGUAAUAAGACCAAGUAGCAUCGACGAUGCACAAAACGAUCGCCAAAGUAUCUCGAUUAUAAUUUGGACAUAAUUCUUGUUGAUGACAUCUCCUACGGAAGAAAGAAAACAAAAUGACGAAAUAAAGAAAACAAAAUGACGAAAUAAAGAAAAAAGAAAAUGAAUUAAUAAAGAAGGAAAAAAAAAAACAAACAAAAACAAAAAAGAGAGAAAAACGAUAUUCGAUGAAAAUUCAUAUUUGAAUUUUCCCGGGUUUAUGAACUUACCAUCGUUCGAUAAGUACUACGACCAAUCCCGUAACGAUUUUAUCAAGAAACGUUACGAUCGAAUAAACGAAUGCACUUUUUUCAGUUCGAGGACCAAUAAUUUCAGCUGUAACACUUAAAGCCGUUACCAUGGUAAUCGAACUGCCUGCACCAAUAAGAAUGGCAAUUGCGUAUGUAACGAUUCCAUAACUCCCGCCAAAUUCUGUAAUGGCUGCCGAAAGAAUACCAAUGAGGGCUCCGCAAAGCUAUGAAGGAUGAUAAAUAAGAUACCAAUGGUACCGUGGCCAAUGCUUGUUUACCACCAACUGCUGUCUCCUCGAUAUAAAGUGGUAAGUAAACAGUAGCAAGGGUUAUAAAUAAUCUACUAGCAACAUAUAACAUUGCAACUCUUAAUAAAAUUGAUGUACCAAACCAGGAUCUUCUUGGGGUUGAAAAACCAUCUAAAAGCCAACUAGAUUCGUCGGGGUUCGUUUUGGCUUGUGAUUGACUCCUAUUUUCCAAAAGAUUUUCCUUCAGGAGAAUGUGAAAGAGAGUGGUCGCAGUCAAACCGAAUGCCGUUACAACGAUCACAAUAUUCUGCGAAAGGAUUGGUCCAAUGUCUUGGAAAUAUGAUUUUUUUUUUAUAUAUAUAUAUAUAUUUAUGGAAAUGAAAAUUAUUUAAUUGUUCUCUUUUCCUUUAAAUCUUUUUCUUUUCUUUUCUUUUCUUAAUACUAACUCUGAAUUUGUAGUCGUCGUGUUGAUCGAGUAACACCAUCGAUUCUCCAUUUGUUGGAAGGACAAUCCAUGUGACCAUGAAAACAACUACCGCUGAGCUCACCUGCGCUGAAUAUCUAUAAUAUAAAAACGACUUAUGAGUAAGUGAAUAUUAAUAUAAUUUAUUUCAUUCGAUGGAUUUUUUUUUGUUGUUUUUUUUGGUUUUUUUUUUUUUGUUUUACCUUAUAGCUGUUAAUUCGGUACGACCGAGUAACGAGUUUGUUAAAGAUGGUAUCAUAGAUAAAUGCGAUAUCUGUACGGCUGCCCAGCCAAUCUGGAAGAUUAUGAUGCUCAGUAUAUAAAAGAA